GAUGAACGCUGGCGGCGUGCCUAAUACAUGCAAGUCGAGCGGAGCGGGGACGGGUGAUUCACACGUGGCUAACCUCCUUUAAGACUGGGGUAAGUUCGGGAACCCUGAUAUAGAUCCGACACUUGUACGUGGUUCCGAGCUGGAUUAGUUAGGUGGUACGGUAACGGCGUACCAAGGCAACGAUGCAUAGCCGACCUGAGAGGGUGAUCGGCCACACUGGAACUGAGACACGGUCCAGACUCCUACGGGAGGCAGCAGUAGGGAAUAUUCGGCAAUGGGCGAAAGCCUGAUGGAGCAACGCCGCGUGAGUGAAGAAGGUCUUCGGAUCGUAAAACUCUGUUAUUAGGGAAGCGGUACCUAAACAGAAAGCAACGGCUAACUACGUGCCAGCAGCCGCGGUAAUUC
rnacentral:rRNA from 1 species